rnacentral:rRNA from 1 species
UACGUAGGGUGCGAGCGUUAAUCGGAAUUACUGGGCGUAAAGCGUGCGCAGGCGGUUUUGUAAGCCAGAUGUGAAAGCCCCGGGCUUAACCUGGGAACUGCAUUGGUGACUGGCAGGCUAGAGUAUGGCAGAGGGGGGUAGAAUUCCACGUGUAGCAGUGAAAUGCGUAGAGAUGUGGAGGAAUACCGAUGGCGAAGGCAGCCCCCUGGGCCAAUACUGACGCUCAUGCACGAAAGCGUGGGGAGCAAACAGG